rnacentral:lncRNA from 1 species
GUUCCUAUUGUACUGGGACAUAUGAUCUUGGCAGGAAUCCCAGCCCCUGUAAGUUUCAUGUAAGCUUGCAAAGCCUACGCCAUCAGGUCACCUUGCUGAAGUUUCUGCCAGCCCUGCUUCUACAACCCAAGACCUCAACAUGAAGUCUAAAGUGCCUUGCUCCACAUUAGAGAGCCCAUGCUAAAAGAAUAUUUUGUUCUGGAGACCUUGACUUACCUGCAUCAGUUUGACCUCUGAAGAGGCUGAAGGCUGAGUGUGAGGCUCCUUGGGUUACUACAUGGCCUUAGGACACUUUCCAAUAAUGUCCUGCCUGUGACUGACCACAGAAUCAUUGAGUUGUCUGAAAUCAAGAUGCACACUGCUGACUAGUUCACCUAGAUGAAGAACAAAGUCCCACAGGAUGAGUCUAUUUCUUUGAACACUUUGAGUUGAUUAUUUAGACAAACCACAGGAGUCUCCAGAUAAGAAUGACCUGUGGGAGUCUAUUGAAUAACAAAGACCAGAAUUCAAUCUGUGUGAAAGGCAUGAGCUGGGAAUGAGAAAUGAAAUUGAUUUGGUCCAGUCCUCGCUAUAUUUCAAAUGCUGUCCAUCAAACAUGCCUGAGAGGAGCUGUAAGCAUAACUCUAACAUGCUGUUCAAGAUGAAGAGACUCCUGCAGCUGCUUCGAUCAAUCCACAAUGAUCCUCUCUAGUUGACA